rnacentral:rRNA from 1 species
GACGAACGCUGGCGGCGUGCUUAACACAUGCAAGUCGAACGGAAAGGCCCUGCUUUUGUGGGGUGCUCGAGUGGCGAACGGGUGAGUAACACGUGAGUAACCUGCCCUUGACUUUGGGAUAACUUCAGGAAACUGGGGCUAAUACCGGAUAGGAGCUCCUGCUGCAUGGUGGGGGUUGGAAAGUUUCGGCGGUUGGGGAUGGACUCGCGGCUUAUCAGCUUGUUGGUGGGGUAGUGGCUUACCAAGGCUUUGACGGGUAGCCGGCCUGAGAGGGUGAACGGCCACAUUGGGACUGAGGUACGGCCCAGACUCCAACGGGAGGCAGCAGUGGGGAAUAUUGCACAAUGGGCGGAAGCCUGAUGCAGCGACGCCGCGUGCGGGAUGACGGCCUUCGGGUUGUAAACCGCUUUCGCCUGUGACGAAGCGUGAGUGACGGUAAUGGGUAAAGAAGCACCGGCUAACUACGUG